CCUACGGUGGGCAGCAGUCGAGAAUCAUUCACAAUGGGGGAAACCCUGAUGGUGCGACGCCGCGUGGGGGAAUGAAGGUCUUCGGAUUGUAAACCCCUGUCAUGUGGGAGCAAAUUAAAAAGAUAGUCCCACCAGAGGAAGAGACGGCUAACUCUGUGCCAGCAGCCGCGGUAAUACAGAGGUCUCAAGCGUUGUUCGGCAUCACUGGGCGUAAAGCGUUCGGAGGCUGUUUCGUAAGUCGUGUGUGAAAGGCGCGGGCUCAACCCGCGGACGGCCGAUGAUACUGCGAGACUAGAGUAAUGGAGGGGGAACCGGAAUGCUCGGUGUAGCAGUGAAAUGCGUAGAUAUCGAGAGGAACACUCGUGGCGAAGGCGGGUUGCUGGACAUUAACUGACGCUGAGGCACGAAGGCCAGGGGAGCGAAAGGGAUUAGAUACCCGUGUAGUC
rnacentral:rRNA from 1 species